rnacentral:tRNA from 1 species
GGGCCGUUAGCUCAGUUGGUAGAGCAUCAGACUUUUAAUCUGUUGGUCGCAGGUUCGAGCCCUGCACGGCUCA